rnacentral:misc_RNA from 1 species
GAUGAAGAACGCAGCGAAAUGCGAUAAGUAAUGUGAAUUGCAGAAUUCAGUGAAUCAUCGAAUCUUUGAACGCACAUUGCGCCCGCCAGUAUUCUGGCGGGCAUGCCUGUUCGAGCGUCAUUUCAACCCUCAGGGCCCUUUUGGACCUGGCGUUGGGGCUCGACCGCUACCCUGCGGCCGUCCCCGAAAGAUAGUGGCGGUCUCGCUGUAGCCUCCUCUGCGUAGUAGUUACAUCUCGCACUGGAACGCGGCGCGGCCAUGCCGUUAAACACCCCACUUCUCAAGGUUGACCUCGGAUCAGGUAGGAAUACCCGCUGAACUUAAGCAUAUCAAUAAGCGGAGGA